AUUGAACGCUGGCGGCAUGCCUUACACAUGCAAGUCGGACGGCAGCACGAUUAGAGGAGGGCAACUGAAUCUGAUGGGUGGCGAGUGGCGAACGGGUGAGUAAGAUAUCGGAACGUACCUUAGAGAGGGGGAUAACUCGUUGAAAGAUGAGCUAAUACCGCAUAAGAUCUGUGGAUGAAAGUGGGGGACUGUAAAAGGCCUCACGCUGUAAGCGCGGCCGAUAACUGAUUAGCUAGAUGGUGGGGUAAAGGCUUACCAUGGCGACGAUCAGUAGCUGGUCUGAGAGGACGACCAGCCACACUGGAACUGAGAGACGGACCAGACUCCUACGGGAGGCAGCAGUGGGGAAUUUUGGACAAUGGGCGUAAGCCUGAUCCAGCAAUGCCGCGUGAGUGAAGAAGGCCU
rnacentral:rRNA from 1 species